rnacentral:pre_miRNA from 1 species
AAUAAGAUUAUUUUUCAAUUUUUUUAUACAAUAUUUUGACUUUUCGUCUUAUUUGAAAUUUUUUGAUAUUAAUAUUUUUAUUUUUACUAGAUGAUAAAAUAUAAAUAAUGCUUUGUGAGUAACUAAUUUUUUUAAUUUUUUGUAUAAAUUUUUCAAAUAAGACGAAUGAUCAAACGUUGGACACGCAAAAAC